UAACCCACCGUCCACGGCUGGCUGUACUAGUCAAUAACGAUGGCGGAAUGUCAGUCCGACCACUGAGGAAAAGGAGAAGCAUCGGAAAAGGCAUCGCUACAAAAUCGCGGCCUAGGUUUUAGACCGCUCAUAAUCGAUUCUUUUGAUUCACUACGUAUUUAGGUUUUGGUGAUAAUUUCCCAGGUAGUCUGGUGUUAGCUGCUGGUUUUAUUCCCGCCUGAAUUUUACAAUAUAACAAUGUAAGCACAUGAGAUAUAACUACGAGACAUCUGUAAAACAGGCACAUAUUUAUGUGUGAGUCUCUUUCUUUCAAUGCCACAUGACACUGUAAAUCACACGUUUGAAGCUUCACAUCACAAUAAAUUAAACCUUUCUUACUGUUGAAGGUUAUGCGGAUUCUGGAGUCAAGCCUACGACCUGUAGGAACCUGCUGCACUGCUACAUAUUGGAUCGCACAACGAUGCACUUGACCUGCAUGCUUUUACAAGGUGCCCUGUGAGCUCUCAUCCAAGCACCGCAUUGCAGAGGUCUGCUGUGAGCAGACGUGGCAAAUUGAAGUAACAUACAGAUAGUCCAAUAAAAUACUCGUAAUUUCAGACAAAC
rnacentral:lncRNA from 1 species